rnacentral:rRNA from 1 species
GACGAACGCUGGCGGCGUGCCUAACACAUGCAAGUCGAACGGAAGUAAGUGCUUCGGUAUUUACUUUAGUGGCGAACGGGUGAGUAACGCGUGAGGAACCUGCCUUUCAGUGGGGGACAACAGUUGGAAACGAAUGCUAAUACCGCAUAAGACCACAGUGUCGCAUGGCACAGGGGUCAAAGGAUUUAUCCGCUGAAAGAUGGGCUCGCGUCCGAUUAGCUAGAUGGUGAGGUAACGGCCCACCAUGGCGACGAUCGGUAGCCGGACUGAGAGGUUGAACGGCCACAUUGGGACUGAGACACGGCCCAG